rnacentral:pre_miRNA from 1 species
UGCUCAGUAGUUGGUGUAGGAUCUGUCCGAUAAAACCAACAGCUACAUCUGAUUACUGGGUCUC